UGCCUGACGUGUUCCAAGGAAGCAGUAAAAUAGAAAGUAAAGAACACAAUGAUUUUUACGUGAAAAACACCCGGCUUAAAAGGUGUAAAAAAACCACGACCUGCACCUCUACAGGAUUUAACCCCAACUUCACUAAAUAACUCUGAGCCUCAACAACAACUGAUUACAAAACUCUUGUAACCAACAAAUAGGAAUUAUAAACUUUAAUCCUUAUAACUCAACAACUAAGAAUUGUAAACUCUAAUUCCUUUGACUCAAUAUCUAGGAAUUAUAAACUCUAAUUCCUAACUACACAGACCUCCCAAGGUAUGCGUUCCCAAAGUCUCUGAGUUUUCCCCAACUCGAAGAAUAUCUCCUAAUUCAGCUUAUAACACACUGAAACUAAUAUUACAUCAAUAGUUCAAACACAAUGAACAACUCUAAAAAUUAAAGCUAAAACUCUUAGCUAGAUUCUAUACUCCAGGUUCUUCAAUGUGUUUCUUCAGUGAUUGAGUAGCACUUCGUGAAGUCAAUCUGUCGAUUGUGCUUUUCUGCUUUGUAAGUGCGUGAAUUAUUCUGACUGAUGCAUCUUCUAUUUAAGCACAACUCUUCAAAGAGUCAUUCUUUAUUUCAAACUCCUC
rnacentral:lncRNA from 1 species